rnacentral:tRNA from 1 species
GGCGGAGAGAGCUCGGUUAGGUUGAGCAAUAGACUGUGACUCUAAAGGUUAUGGGUUCGAAUCCCAUUCUUCGCC